rnacentral:rRNA from 1 species
GUGGGGAAUAUUGGACAAUGGGCGAAAGCCUGAUCCAGCCAUGCCGCGUGUGUGAAGAAGGUCUUCGGAUUGUAAAGCACUUUAAGUUGAGAGGAAGGGCAGUAAGUUAAUACCUUGCUGUUUUGACGUUACCAACAGAAUAAGCACCGGCUAACUUCGUGCCAGCAGCCGCGGUAAUACGAAGGGUGCAAGCGUUAAUCGGAAUUACUGGGCGUAAAGCGCGCGUAGGUGGUUCAGCAAGUUGAAGGUGAAAUCCCCGGGCUCAACCUGGGAACUGCCUCCAAAACUACUGAGCUAGAGUACGGUAGAGGGUAGUGGAAUUUCCUGUGUAGCGGUGAAAUGCGUAGAUAUAGGAAGGAACACCAGUGGCGAAGGCGACUACCUGGACUGAUACUGACACUGAGGUGCGAAAGCGUGGGGAGCAAACAGGAUUAGAUACCCGAGUAGUCC